GUUUGAUGUUCUAACGUUGACCCGUGAUCCGGGUUGCGGACAGUGUCUGGUGGGUAGUUUGACUGGGGCGGUCUCCUCCUAAAGAGUAACGGAGGAGCACGAAGGUUGGCUAAUCCUGGUCGGACAUCAGGAGGUUAGUGCAAUGGCAUAAGCCAGCUUGACUGCGAGCGUGACGGCGCGAGCAGGUGCGAAAGCAGGUCAUAGUGAUCCGGUGGUUCUGAAUGGAAGGGCCAUCGCUCAACGGAUAAAAGGUACUCCGGGGAUAACAGGCUGAUACCGCCCAAGAGUUCAUAUCGACGGCGGUGUUUGGCACCUCGAUGUCGGCUCAUCACAUCCUGGGGCUGAAGUAGGUCCCAAGGGUAUGGCUGUUCGCCAUUUAAAGUGGUACGCGAGCUGGGUUUAGAACGUCGUGAGACAGUUCGGUC
rnacentral:rRNA from 1 species